AAUUUUGCUAAAUUCAUAUACAUUGUAAAACAUUGAAGCAUACAAAUAAUUCACAAGAACAAGUAGCUCUUAAGUAAAUGCCUAUUUUACAGUGUCAAGUUCCAAUAAUAUGAACUUAUAUUCUUUCCCUAUGACUGAGAUAAAUCUGCAAUUUCCUUUAGUGGCUUCCACAUGAACUUUCUCCAGUUACCACACUCUGCAAUGACCCUCACAUUAGGACGAAGUGUCGGGAGUAAAGCAAGAAACUGCAGCUCUGCCUUUGAUAAGACCUUGGCUUCUAUUAUCCAAACCACUAAUCCUUUAGCAUCCGGAGGAAGUAAAGAAAGCCUAUAAUCAACUUCUGGAGGAAAAUACCAUCUAGCUAUUGGUUGCUUACCAACAUGAGCAGGGCAGACAGGGUGGAAUUUGGUAAGAGUGGUUUCAGGGUCACCGAGGCCACGAGCCGAAAGGUCCAAGAAAUGAUAUCCCUGGUACUUAAGACGUGUAAGGUAGCGUCCUUCAUAGCCCCCUUCAUGAGGAGAGUAAAUUGCUAUGGCUUUGUGUUCUUCCACAUCUGAUAACCAUUGACCCAAAUCAGGUUUAAUGAGAUCUCCACCUAUGAAGUCCUGAAGUUCAAUGUUACAUCUAAUUGCUCCUUUCUUUUGUCUUCCAACUGAAUCAAGUCUUCUCGUUCUCACAGCCUUUGAUAUGCCAUUUAAUUGUACUCGUUGCUUCUGCAGACCAUAAGACUGCACUGCCCCUUGAUAACAGGCUGAAGAGGAACAGGGUUGGUCUUCAGUGGAAAUAUUGGGGCGCCGCCGGCAAGAAGACCCAUUGCUAGUAAUCAAGAACCUCCUAGUGCUGCUGCUGCUGCUGGUGGUGCUAGGGAAGGUGUAGGAGAGAGUUGUCAUUUGGGUAUUUUGGUGGCAGUGUGUGAGUGGUGGCAGUAGGCAGCUAUAGCAACAGAGACUGUGGAAGGACCAUUGCAAACUUGGACAAAG
rnacentral:misc_RNA from 1 species